rnacentral:rRNA from 1 species
ACAGUAUGGGAGUGAGAAUGUUGGCAUGAGUAGCGAGAUGUGGGUGAGAAUCCCACAGGCCGUAAACCCAAGGUUUCCAGGGGAAGGUUCGUCCGCCCUGGGUUAGUCGGGACCUAAGCUGAGGCCGCAAGGCGUAGGUGAUGGACAACAGGUUGAUAUUCCUGUACUACCGAUAACCGUUUGAGAGAAGGGAUGACACAGUAGGAUAAGCUAAGCACACUGUUGGUUAUGUGUGCCCAAGCAUUGAGGCAGUCAA